rnacentral:rRNA from 1 species
AAAGGUGAAAUUAAAUUGUAAUUUUUGAAGUUUUAACUUUAAUGGAAGCUAAUAAGUUUUAGGUUUAAACUAGGAUUAGAUACCCUAUUAUACUAAAAUUAAAUUAUUAUAGGACUUGAUUAUUAAUAGUUAUGAACUAAAAAUUUAAAGAAUUUGGCGGUAAUUUAGUCUUGUCAGAGGAACCUGUUUAUUAAUCGAUAAGCCACGAAGAAUCUUACUUAAUUUGUAUACCAUCAUUAGCAGAUAAUUUUUAAAGAAUAAUAAUUAUUGUAACUAUAAGAGUAGAAAAAUUAGAUCAAGGUGCAGUUUAUAAAUAAGUUUAAAUGGGUUACAAUAAAUUUUAUUUAUACGGAGUAUAUAUUAGGAAAGGAGGAUUUUGAUUGUAUUAAUUUUUAAUAAGGUUAAAAAGAUAUAAGCUCUAAAUUAUGUACAUAUCGCCCGUCGCUUUC